rnacentral:rRNA from 1 species
GUAAUACAUCGGAACGUACCCAGUAGUGGGGGAUAACGUAGCGAAAGCUACGCUAAUACCGCAUACGAACUACGGUUGAAAGCGGGGGAUCGCAAGACCUCGCGCUAUUGGAGCGGCCGAUGGCAGAUUAGCUAGUUGGUAGGGUAAAAGCCUACCAAGGCGACGAUCUGUGGCUGGUCUGAGAGGACGACCAGCCACACUGGGACUGAGACACGGCCCAGACUCCUACGGGAGGCAGCAGUGGGGAAUUUUGGACAAUGGGGGAAACCCUGAUCCAGCAAUGCCGCGUGUGUGAAGAAGGCCUUCGGGUUGUAAAGCACUUUUGGCAGGAACGAAACGGCUUGGGUUAAUACCUCGGGCUAAUGACGGUACCUGCAGAAUAAGCACCGGCUAACUACGUGCCAGCAGCCGCGGUAAUACGUAGGGUGCAAGCGUUAAUCGGAAUUACUGGGCGUAAAGCGAGCGCAGGCGGUUAUGUAAGACAGAUGUGAAAUCCCCGGGCUUAACCUGGGAACUGCAUUUGUGACUGCAUGGCUAGAGUGCGUCAGAGGGGGGUGGAAUUCCACGUGUAGCAGUGAAAUGCGUAGAGAUGUGGAGGAACACCGAUGGCGAAGGCAGCCCCCUGGGAUGACACUGACGCUCAUGCU